UAAGGAGUCUGGGUUGUACUUGUGUAGCAUAGAUACAUGGAAUACAUUAUAGACUCUGGAUAGUUCUGGAGGUAGUACUAGUCUGUAGAUGAACAUACCCACCCUGUCCAAGAUUUCAAACGGUCUGAUGAACUGGGAGUUUAAUUUUUCUCUCUUUCUAAACCUGUUAAUACCCUUAAAGGGGGUGAACUUGAGAAAUACUCGAUCUCCCUUCUCAAAUUCCAAAUCUCUCAUUCGGGUGUCCGCAUAACUCUUCUGCCUACUCUGAGCUAUCUGGAUGUUCUUCCUGAUUU
rnacentral:lncRNA from 1 species